AGCGCAGCUGGUGCAUCACUAGAGGGUUCUCCAUGGCCCCAGGAGUCUUGGUCUCAUUGGGGAUGAUGCAGCGCACAAAGUGAGGUGACCUUGUCUCCAUCCCGGCUCACGAUGGUCCCCUUUACAAACUCUUCCACCGAAUCCGGGACGAAGCAUUCCUUUUUGAUAUCAAAGGAGAAUUGCACACAGAAGCUCCAGCGUGUCCAUCUCCAUUCGUCUCCAUUCGUCCUUCCAGGCUCAUUGCUUUGGAUGCGUUUCAGCAGCAGAGACAUUGAGGCAGACAGCUGUUUUUGUUGUCAGUCAGAGCUUUAUGGAGGAUUAGAGAGCGUAUCCUACAGCUGACAGUUCCUCUGACUGCCUGGACGCCACAUGGACACAGGCCCUUUAAUGGAUCUGCCCUGACAGAGGUGGGUGCAGGCUAAUGCUUGCGUCAUGUCAAUAGAAAAGAUCGAUUCUUUUUUCUUUUUUUAAAUUGGACUUUUUCCUCUCUACCUUCCAGCUUUCUGUAUAUUUUUGCUUAUUUUUCUUGUCUCUGGAACUGUAUGACUCUGACAUGCAGUUACUGAAAGCACCAACCUGCUCAGUCUCGUUUAUUUUGGCCUCAAAUGGAGUCAUUAAACACACRGUCACACAUCA